rnacentral:rRNA from 1 species
UACAGAGGUCUCAAGCGUUGUUCGGAUUCAUUGGGCGUAAAGAGCUCGUAGGCGGUUUGUCGCGUCUGCUGUGAAAAUCCAGGGCUUAACCCUGGACCUGCAGUGGGUACGGGCAGACUAGAGUGCGGUAGGGGAGAUCGGAAUUCCUGGUGUAGCGGUGAAAUGCGUAGAUAUCUGGAGGAACACCGGUGGCGAAGGCGGCAUCCUGGACCGGCAUUGACGCUGAGGCGCGAAAGCCAGGGGAGCAAACGGG